UGACCGCUGGCGGCGUGCCUAAUACAUGCAAGUCGAGCGAACGGACGAGAAGCUUGCUUUUCUGAUGUUAGCGGCGGACGGGUGAGUAACACGUGGAUAACCUACCUAUAAGACUGGGAUAACUUCGGGAAACCGGAGCUAAUACCGGAUAAUAUUUUGAACCGCAUGGUUCAAAAGUGAAGGACGGUCUUGCUGUCACUUAUAGAUGGAUCCGCGCUGCAUUAGCUAGUUGGUAAGGUAACGGCUUACCAAGGCAACGAUGCAUAGCCGACCUGAGAGGGUGAUCGGCCACACUGGAACUGAGACACGGUCCAGACUCCUACGGGAGGCAGCAGUAGGGAAUCUUCCGCAAUGGGCGAAAGCCUGACGGAGCAACGCCGCGUGAGUGAUGAAGGUCUUCGGAUCGUAAAACUCUGUUAUUAGGGAAGAACAUAUGUGUAAGUAACUGUGCACAUCUUGACGGUACCUAAUCAGAAAGCCACGGCUAACUACGUG
rnacentral:rRNA from 1 species